rnacentral:rRNA from 1 species
GACGAACGCUGGCGGCGUGCUUAACACAUGCAAGUCGAACGGAAAGGCCUCUUUCGGGGGGUACUCGAGUGGCGAACGGGUGAGUAACACGUGAGUAACCUGCCCUUGACUUUGGGAUAACUUCAGGAAACUGGGGCUAAUACCGGAUAGGAGCUCCUGCUGCAUGGUGGGGGUUGGAAAGUUUCGGCGGUUGGGGAUGGACUCGCGGCUUAUCAGCUUGUUGGUGGGGUAGUGGCUUACCAAGGCUUUGACGGGUAGCCGGCCUGGGGGGGUGACCGGCACAUUGGGGACGGAGAUGAGGCCCAGGCCCCACGGGGGGGCAGGGGGGGGAAAAUUUGACAAAGGGGGGGAACCCUAGACAAGAAACCCCGUGUGGGGGAUGCCGGCCUUCGGUUUGAAAACCGUUUUCCCUCAGUACAAAGUUUUGUGUGGCGGUGGUGGGUAAAGAAGCCCCGGCUAACUACGU